rnacentral:rRNA from 1 species
GAAUCUUGCGCAAUGGAGGAAACUCUGACGCAGCCACGCCGCGUGCUGGAAGACGGCCCUAUGGGUUGUAAACAGCUUUUACUGAGGAAGAACCUGGACCUUUCGAGGACCACUGACGGUACCCAGUGAAUAAGCACCGGCUAACUCCGUGCCAGCAGCCGCGGUAAUACGGAGGGUGCAAGCGUUGUCCGGAAUCAUUGGGUGUAAAGGGUGUGCAGGCGGAAGUCUAAGUCGGAGGUGAAAUCUUGCCGCUUAACGGUAAAAGGGCCUUCGAAACUGGAUUUCUUGAGUUCGGAAGAGGUUGGUGGAAUUCGUGGUGUAGCGGUGAAAUGCAUAGAUAUCACGAAGAACACCGGUGGCGAAGGCGGCCAACUGGUCCGAUACUGACGCUGAGACACGAAAGCGUGGGGAGCGAACAGG